CACGUAGGGGGCAAGCGUUGUCCGGAUUUAUUGGGCGUAAAGAGCUCGUAGGCGGUUCGGUAAGUCAGGUGUGAAACCUCCAGGCUCAACCUGGAGACGCCACCUGAUACUGCUGUGACUCGAGUCCGGUAGGGGAGCGUGGAAUUCCUGGUGUAGCGGUGAAAUGCGCAGAUAUCAGGAGGAAUACCUAUGGCGAAAGCAGGUAUCUGGGCCAUCACUGACGCUGAGCUGCGAAAGCUAGGGGAGCAAACAGG
rnacentral:rRNA from 1 species